GCCCCCGGAAUUGUAGUCUAGAAAGGCGCCAUCGGCCGCGCCCGCCGCUCAAAUCCCUUGGAACAGGGUAUCGGAGAAGGUGAGAAUCCUGUACCGUGGCGGUCCGCGGCCGCACGAUGCGCCCUUGCAGAGUCGGGUUGCUUGGGAUUGCAGCUUGAAGUGGGUGGUAAAUUCCAUCUAAAGCUAAAUAUUGGCUCAUGACCGAUAGCGAACAAGUACCGUGAGGGAAAGAUGCAAAGAACUUUGAAAAGAGAGUCAAAGAGUGCUUGAAAUUGGUUGGAGGAAACCCGUAUGUGCCCAGUAUCGACGUACCGACUCAGCCGCGCGCGAGCUUGAUGAGGACCGCAAGGCUUCUGUGCUGUAGCGCGUGGUGCACUUUGGUGCGUCGGGUUAGCCGCGGUUCUGCUGGCGGGAGAAAUACGAUAAGCAGACCUCCGGUUGCUUCCGAAUCGCCGCGCGCGGGACCCCGGCUGACUGAAUGGGCCCAUCCGACCCGUCUAGAAACACGGACCAAGGAGUCUGACACGUGUGCGAGUACCCGGGUGGCAAGCCCGCGUGCGCAAUGAAAGUAAAGGGCGUGCCCCGCCAACCGACCUUGAUCUUCUGUGAAGGGUUUGAGUGGAGCACAUCUGUCGGGACCCGAAAGAUGGUGAACUAUGCCUGAGGAGGGUGAAGCCAGAGGAAACUCUGGUGGAGGCUCGUAGCGAUACUGACGUGCAAAUCGUUCGUCACACUUGGGUAUAGGGGCGAAAGACUAAUCGAACCAUCUAGUAGCUGGUUCCCUCCGAAGUUUCCCUCAGGAUAGCUUGAACGCAACGGUUUUGU
rnacentral:rRNA from 1 species